UGAUAGCUAUGCAGUUUUCUAGCUUCGGCGCUCCUCGGACAAAAUUUACAUUCGGAUACCCUCGGUAGCACAUGGGAUAUUUUGGCCGCCAUAUUGCGCCUUUGCCGGCUGCAGAAAUUAAGCGUAACUGGCUUUUAUUACCUCUAACCAGAUCAUAUUCCUGCUGUGACAUAUGGACAGGUGUAUUUAGGUCCGCAACCUGGUCAAUAUCCCAGUAAGCAGUUUGAGACAGACCAAAGGUCACCUAAAGAAAGAGAAAUUUCAAAGGUUGUUAAGGAUAAACUACUGUCCACUGACCAAAAAAUUGAAAUUUUAAUAUAUUUUUUUUUGCAAAAUAUGGCUGAGAGUGUUGAAAGUAGUCGGCUAUUUCGUGCCAUUGGAAAGUUUCUUGAGUCCAAUCCAGGACGGUCCAAGUCACCUAAGUAUGAAAGGGUUAUAAUUCUUUCUGAUAGCAAAGGUAAAUAUUUGCAACAUGAGCAUGCUGCAGUUUCUUCCUUGUUAAAAAUUCCAAAAAUUGAAUACUGGUACUUCAAUGGUAGGUCUACUCAUGAUGGAGUUCAAUAUUUGAUCAGUAACAUUGAACUUCUAAAUAAGUCAUUGCAGAAAACCAUUGUUUUAUUCUGGCAUUUUACCUGUGAUCUCACCCUGAUGCCAGAUAAACAUGGUCAUCGUUAUAUUUUACCCAGGUUUCCUUCCUUUGAAGAUAUCAAAGUCCAUCUUCAACCUGACUUGGACAAACUUGUCGCAUUAGGUCAUUCCAACAAGUUUGAUGUUGGAAUUCUUGAAGUACCACCUAUUUUCUGCAGCUUGUGGAACAGAAGAAUAGGUGAUUUGGACAGGCCCGAUAUAGAAGAUAGUUCUUUAAAUAAUCAUGUUAUUCUUGUUAAUGAAUAUUUAAGGGACUUGAACAGUUCAUUAGGAUUUAACUCUCCUAAGUUUGAACAAGAUUUUGCUAUGUAUAGGUCUAAGACUACAGGUAAUAAUGCAUAUAAAUCAAAGGUAACGUUCACCAGUUCUUUACUUCUGGAUGGUGUACAUCCUCACCCAUUAGUUGCAAGGAAGUGGUUAUACCGAAUUUGUCAGUCAGUGUCUGAAUAGUUUUUUAUCUAUACCUGAGAAUCUGUUCCACAAUUAUAAAUAAAAAUUGAGCUACUAAAUAGUAAGUCCUGCGAUGGAAACCUUCACAAUGUACUGGACCUCCAUUAUGGGGGAUGUUACACAGUUAUUCACAUGUCAAUUAAGUAAUGUUGCAAAGUAGAACAGUAACUUAGUUUUAAGUAUUGUCUGAUCCAAAUGUGUAGUUUUUAAUGACAGGUCAGAUACUUUUGAUGAAGUGUACAAACCUGGAAAUGGUGCUUUAAUAUGUACUGCGUUGUGUAGUCUGAAAAACAGGCACUGUUUUUUUCCUGUAUUUAUACAAGCAAGUCAUCACACCGGUAAUAAUUAGUUGAAAAAAAAACUUCUUUAUUUGAGAAGCAUGAACUUUUUCAAAAUUGUAUUUGUUAUAUAUUACUUAGUGCAAGUUACAUACCUGUUGUCAUGAUAAAUUUUUGUUUGCUUUGUAUUUUAUUUUUCAAAAUGGCACUGUCUUGCUUACCGACUAAACAUUAUUGUCAUAAUUAAGAAGUGAACUUUUUCUAACAAACCCGAUAACAUGAUGAAAAUGAAUCAUGACCCUCGUACCAUUCGUGCAUAAAUUAACAUUUCUCCAUUAAAUAAUAAGUACUGUUUUUGGAGAAGAUUGUUGUUUAAAUACAAUCUCCAGCGUUUUACUUAGACUUAGAUUAUGCAUUUCAAAUGUAAAAAGAAUAAUCUUAUAUUCUGUUUAUGUUAUGUUAUUAAAUGUAUUUAUAUCAGUUGCGAUGUACCAUUAUUUGGUUGACAUGUGAAUUUUUUUGUAACUAUGUCCUAAUGAAAUGGCCCAUAGCUUUCAACACUCUUAUCCGCUAAUAACUUUUUAUUUUUAAACAAAAAUUCAGAUUUAUUUUAUUUGUGAAAAGAGACGAAACUUUAACAAAUCUCAAAAAACAAAACCAGCUCUCAAUACCUAGAAGGUCGUUAUUGGACAGUAGUUGAACUGGAGUUGUCCAUGUGGGAACCAAGAAAUAGCCGCAUUGUUGUGGAAGUACACUGAUGUCAUCCUUCUGCAAAGUUCCAAAUGGUAAACACUUCUAACA